rnacentral:rRNA from 1 species
UACGUAGGUGGCAAGCGUUGUCCGGAUUUAUUGGGCGUAAAGCGCGCGCAGGCGGUCUUUUAAGUCUGAUGUGAAAUCUUGCGGCUUAACCGCAAGCGGUCAUUGGAAACUGGGGGACUUGAGUACAGAAGAGGAAAGUGGAAUUCCACGUGUAGCGGUGAAAUGCGUAGAGAUGUGGAGGAACACCAGUGGCGAAGGCGACUUUCUGGUCUGUAACUGACGCUGAGGCGCGAAAGCGUGGGGAGCAAACAGG